UACAGAGUCUGCAAGCGUUAUUCGGAAUUACUGGGCUUAAAGGGUGCGUAGGCGGUGCAGCAAGUCGGGAGUGAAAUCCCACAGCUCAACUGUGGAAUUGCUUUCGAUACUGCUGUGCUUGAGUGAGACAGAGGUAAGCGGAACUUAGGGUGGAGCGGUGAAAUGCGUUGAUAUCCUAAGGAACACCGGUGGCGAAGGCGGCUUACUGGGUCUCUACUGACGCUGAUGCACGAAAGCCAGGGUAGCGAACGGG
rnacentral:rRNA from 1 species